rnacentral:misc_RNA from 1 species
GAUGAAGAACGCAGCGAAAUGCGAUAAGUAAUGUGAAUUGCAGAAUUCAGUGAAUCAUUGAAUCUUUGAACGCACAUUGCGCCCGCCAGUAUUCUGGCGGGCAUGCCUGUUCGAGCGUCAUUACAACCCUCAGGCCCCCGGGCCUGGCGUUGGGGAUCGGCGGAGCCCCCCGUGGGCACACGCCGUCCCCCAAAUACAGUGGCGGUCCCGCCGCAGCUUCCAUCGCGUAGUAGCUAACACCUCGCGACUGGAGAGCGGCGCGGCCACGCCGUAAAACACCCAACUCUUCUGAAGUUGACCUCGAAUCAGGUAGGAAUACCCGCUGAACUUAAGCAUAUCAAUAAGCGGAGGA